rnacentral:rRNA from 1 species
AACUCUAGAGAUAGAGCUUUCCCCUUCGGGGGACAAAGUGACAGGUGGUGCAUGGUUGUCGUCAGCUCGUGUCGUGAGAUGUUGGGUUAAGUCCCGCAACGAGCGCAACCCUUAAGCUUAGUUGCCAUCAUUAAGUUGGGCACUCUAGGUUGACUGCCGGUGACAAACCGGAGGAAGGUGGGGAUGACGUCAAAUCAUCAUGCCCCUUAUGAUUUGGGCUACGCACGUGCUACAAUGGACAAUACAAAGGGCAGCUAAACCGCGAGGUCAUGCAAAUCCCAUAAAGUUGUUCUCAGUUCGGAUUGUAGUCUGCAACUCGACUACAUGAAGCUGGAAUCGCUAGUAAUCGUAGAUCAGCAUGCUACGGUGAAUACGUUCCCGGGUCUUGUACACACCGCCCGUCACACCACGAGAGUUUGUAACACCCGAAGCCGGUGGAGUAACCAUUUAUGGAGCUAGCCGUCGAAGGUGGGACAAAUGAUUGGGGUGAAGUCGUAACAAGGUAGCCGUAUCGGAAG